AAUGAACGUUGGCGGCGUGGAUUAGGCAUGCAAGUCGAGCGAGUCUGUCUUGUAGCAAUAUGAGGCAAGUCGAGCGGCGUAAGGGGCAGUAAUACCUGGGAACGUACCCUGAGGUCGGGGAUAGCUGCUAGAAAUGGCGAGUAAUACCCGAUGAUCUCGAGAGAGCAAAGGCUUGCCGCCUUAGGAGCGGCCCAGGCGAUAUUAGCUAGUUGGUGAGGUAAUGGCUUACCAAGGCAAAGAUGUCUAGCGGGUGUGAGAGCACGACCCGCGCCACUGGCACUGAGACACUGGCCAGACACCUACGGGUGGCUGCAGUCGAGAAUCUUCGGCAAUGAGCGCAAGCUUGACCGAGCGACGCCGCGUGCGGGAUGAAGGCC
rnacentral:rRNA from 1 species